GUUAUGGUGUCUACGUAUACCCAAAUUCCUUCUUUCGAUAUGAAGGAGAAUGGAAAGCAGGGAGGAAGCACGGUCACGGGAAGUUGUUAUUUAAAGAUGGCAGUUAUUACGAAGGGGCGUUUGUGGACGGAGAGAUCACGGGAGAAGGCCGCCGGCACUGGGCCUGGUCAGGUGAGCUCUAGCUGGGAUGGCACAUUCACUCCUUUCUCAUAACCCAUCGGGCUCAGUUGGUCCGCCGAGUCUAGAUGCAGAAGGCGUGACGUGUAGACGGGAAGCUUUGUGCCGUGAGAGGCCUGGCCUACCGAGAAGCCCUGGGGACCUGACUGAGGCUCUGUGGUCACCGCUGAGAGCAACUCAGGCUUCCGGAGACACUUUUCUAGAAU
rnacentral:lncRNA from 1 species